AUAAUGCAAGCCCUGCAACCGAGAAUAUGCAUGUGUACGUUUUUAAAAUGACAUUUUCUCUAAAUCUAUACAGUAAAAUCACAUGGUUCCUUGUGUACAAGUAGUUAGUACAACAGUUAGUAUGGUCAUAUCAGUCGGUGCCUGGCACACAGCACUAAGGCCAACUCAUUUCAGCUGCGUCUCCCCCGCCUCUCCUCAUAAAGCGCCCCCACCGUGACGGAUGUUAAUCGUUUAUUUUGCGUUGGAUUGCGUGGGCUGAACAAUCCGGACAUCGUGGCCACCGACGGGGACCCCGCCACCGGGACCCACGCACACCGACCACCACACUGGGAAGUGUCCUCUGCUCACUGUGGAAGCAGCAUGGAAGAACUGCAGAAACUCUGAUGGAAACUACAGGACCUCCACGCUGUUGAACACAAACUGUUGUAGGCCUACUACAAACAGAGGCGGUCCCACUCGGUUAAAGAUCUCGUGGUCAAUGCGGCAGACCGCUGGACCUGGACGUCACCUUCUGCAGAUACUUCACUGCCCUCAGGAAUCCACGGAUAAC